UUCCCCCUCGUCGCCGCCGCCAGGUAAGGGCGCCACCAGAUCCAGCCAAUUUCAUCGAACCCGAGCGCAACAGAGAGCGAGCUCUCGUCGCCGUCGUGCUCUCCGGCGUAUCCAGCCGGUGAGACCUUGCCCGUCUGCAUCCCCGUCGUCGACUACUUCCACUACGUACGCCUACGGAGGCCUUGUACCACUACAGCGCGAUUACGUCGUCGUCUUCCUCUCCGGUGGCCAUAGCCGUUUGAUCGUCGCCGCCACCGUCUCCGACCACGACUUUUCCGACCGAGCACGUAAACGUGUUCGCGCUUUGGGAGACGAUUUCGUGAACGAGGGUUCCAUUGAGUACGAUCAUACCGAGCUGUUUUCCGAUCCUACCGAGGAAUUACCAGGCAAGAUGAUCUUUACCCGUGAUACCAUUACUAUGCUUGUUUGGCUAGUAUUCGCUCUUUCGCUAUGUCUACGAAUCCUAUCACAUGUUUAGCCCCCUUUGUUGCCUCGAUGACUCUAACUAAUCCUGUCCCAGCAAAACCUUGAUUGGCUAACUAGUGCUUGCUUUUAAGCCCUUGUUCUUAUAGCGUUGCUAGUUGCAGGUUGAUCCUUGUUGGAUCAUGAUAUAUUUCUGGGAUAACACAAUAUUGCUAUGUUAAUAAUGCACCCUUAUAUACUUGGUAAAGGGCGGAAGGCUAAGCCUUUUGCUUGGUGUUUUGUUCUGCUCUUGCCGCCUUAAGUACCGUCAGUCCGGUGUUAUGUUCCUUGAUUUUGCGUUCCUAACGCGGUAGGGUUUUAUGAGGACCCCUUGAUAGUUCGUUUAGGAUAAACAUUUCCAGCAAGACCCAACUUUGGUUUUACCAUUUGCCUCACCUAAUUAACACAUAGGGAGUAAUUAACCCGAGGAUCUUUUAAUCAACAACCCAGGGCCAGUACUCCUCAUGAGUGUUGGUCCGAAUCGGGGAGACUGCGGGACCUCCACGGGGCAACUCGAGGUUUUGGUACCUGUAGCCUGUCCCAUCCGGACGUGGCCUGAGACGAGAUACGCGCGGCUACUAUCAGGGUGUCGGCACGCCGGGAGGUCUUUGCUGGUUUUGUUUCGCCUUUGCAGAAAUGUCUUGUGCAACUAGAACCCGAGUCUGAUCGGAUUCUUUACUAUGGAGGAUUGUCUCCGCAUGCCGUGAGAGCUUGUCGUGGGCUAAGUUGGAACACCCCUGCAGGGUAUUAUCUUUCGAAAGCCGUGCCCGCGGUUACGGGCGGAUUGGAUUUGUUUAAUACCGGUGGUAGAUAAUCGGAAGUUAACUUAAUUAAAAUGCACCAACCGUGUGCGUACCGUGAUCGUCUCUUUUUCGGAGGAAACCGGGAAGAGAAUACGGUGGGGUUAUGUCUGACCGUAAGAUAGCUAGGAUCACUUAGUGAUCAUUAGUCUCGACCGUUGACGUAGGUCUUCUCACCUUAACUCUGACUUGCGUAAGUUAGCCACCAUAUAAUGCUUAGUCGCUUGCAGCAGCUCCACUUAAACAGCCUGAUCCUACCUACUUAAACUUGCUUAGUCUUGUUACCCCGGGUAUCGGGAUUGCUGAGUCCUCGUGGAUCACAGUUACUACAACACCUCAGAUGCAGGUACAACCGAGUUCGAUAACGCUGAUGCUCAGGAGCUGCACUGGGAGUACGACGAGGACCGCGGGCGUUUCUAUGUUACUUAUCCGGACGAUCAGUAGAUUGGGUUACUAGUCGGGUGAUCCGGGGCUUGUAGCAGGGUGGUGUUUUAUCUUUUUAGAUCCGGAGUCGGAUAUUAUGAGAUUGUAAUAAUAUUAUAUUGAUAUAUUAUAUUCUGGGGCAUGUGUUGCCUAGCUUAUUACUCCUAUAUCCCUUUCAUA